GGCGUAAGCGCGCGUAGGCGGCUAAUUAAGUCAAAUGUGAAAUCCCCGAGCUUAACUUGGGAAUUGCAUUCGAUACUGGUUAGCUAGAGUGUGGGAGAGGAUGGUAGAAUUCCAGGUGUAGCGGUGAAAUGCGUAGAGAUCUGGAGGAAUACCGAUGGCGAAGGCAGCCAUCUGGCCUAACACUGACGCUGAGGUGCGAAAGCAUGGGGAGCAAACAGGAUUAGAUACCCUGGUAGUCCAUGCCGUAAACGAUGUCUACUAGCCGUUGGGGCCUUUGAGGCUUUAGUGGCGCAGCUAACGCGAUAAGUAGACCGCCUGGGGAGUACGGUCGCAAGACUAAAACUCAAAUGAAUUGACGGGGGCCCGCACAAGCGGUGGAGCAUGUGGUUUAAUUCGAUGCAACGCGAAGAACCUUACCUGGCCUUGACAUAGUAAGAACUUUCCAGAGAUGGAUUGGUGCCUUCGGGAACUUACAUACAGGUGCUGCAUGGCUGUCGUCAGCUCGUGUCGUGAGAUGUUGGGUUAAGUCCCGCAACGAGCGCAACCCUUUUCCUUAUUUGCCAGCGAGUAAUGUCGGGAACUUUAAGGAUACUGCCAGUGACAAACUGGAGGAAGGCGGGGACGACGUCAAGUCAUCAUGGCCCUUACGGCCAGGGCUACACACGUGCUACAAUGGUCGGUACAAAGGGUUGCUACCUAGCGAUAGGAUGCUAAUCUCAAAAAGCCGAUCGUAGUCCGGAUUGGAGUCUGCAACUCGACUCCAUGAAGUCGGAAUCGCUAGUAAUCGCGGAUCAGAAUGCCGCGGUGAAUACGUUCCCGGGCCUUGUACACACCGCCCGUCACACCAUGGAGUUUGUUGCACCAGAAGUAGGUAGUCUAACCGCAAGGAGGACGCUUACCACGGUGUGG
rnacentral:rRNA from 1 species